GAUGAAGAACGUAGCGAAAUGCGAUAAGUAGUGUGAAUUGCAGAAUUCAGUGAAUCAUCGAAUCUUUGAACGCACAUUGCGCCCCUUGGUAUUCCAUGGGGCAUGCCUGUUCGAGCGUCAUUUGUACCUUCAAGCUUUGCUUGGUGUUGGGUAUUUGUCUCGCCUUUGCGUGUAGACUCGCCUUAAAAUAAUUGGCAGCCGGCGUAUUGAUUUCGGAGCGCAGUACAUCUCGCGCUUUGCACUCAUAACGACAGCGUCCAAAAGUACAUUUUACACUCUUGACCUCGGAUCAGGUAGGGAUACCCGCUGAACUUAAGCAUAUCAAUAAGCGGAGGA
rnacentral:misc_RNA from 1 species